AUUGAACGCUGGCGGCAUGCCUAACACAUGCAAGUCGAGCGGAUGAACGGAGCUUUCUCCUCUAUGCAGCUGCCGACGGGUGAGUAAGGCCUAGGAAUCUACCUGAUAGUGAGGGAUAACGUCCGUAAACGGGCGCUAAUACCGCAUACGUCCUUAGAGAGAAAGGGGUGGAUCUUCAGACCUAACGCGAUCAGAUGUCACUAGGACGUAUUAGCUAGUUGGUUUGGUAAAGGCUUACCAAGGCGACGAUCCGUAACUGGUCUGAGAGGAUGAUCAGUCACACUGGAACUGAGACACGGUCCAGACUCCUACGGGAGGCAGCAGUGGGGAAUCUUGCACAAUGGGCGAAAGCCUGAUCCAGCCAUGCCGCGUGUGUGAUGAAGGUCUUCGGAUUGUAAAGCACUUUAAGUAGGGAGGAAGGGCAGUAAGAUAAUCUCUUGCUGUUUUGACGUUACCAACAGAGUAAGCACCGGCUAACUUCGUG
rnacentral:rRNA from 1 species